CUUGCCUUGAUGGUGUAGGUGAGCUUGCACGCUAAUGGCCAUAUGAAAGAUGCUGUUAUUUAAAUGUGUAUAAAAUAAAGACUUGGGAUUGAGUACAGGCAGAUUUAUUUUUUGUUUUUAGUAAUUGUUUGCUGACAGAUUCUGGCUCCCUAAUACAAGCACAUUAUUAAUGUACUAUAAAACCCAAAGAAAAACUUUACUUGCGCACUAUCCUAAAUCCAUAUUUUUCAAAACCCCUACAUACUUAUUAACCCUUAAUAGGGAACACAUGGGAUGGGCAGCAACAUUGUAACAUGACUGUGUGAAAAGCAAAUACAAAUACACAAAAAUAAGUCCUGCGCUCAGACUCCCACUACUCCUGGGCGGCAGCAAUGACCAUAGUACACAUCAUCCCUAAUACGUACAAUAAAAAGAAAAGAGUUACUAUCCCAAAUCCCUGUGCAUAUUUAAAU